GCUCCAGUGGCGCAAUCGGUUAGCGCGCGGUACUUAUAAUGCCGAGGGUGUGAGUUCAAGCCUCACCUGGAGCA
rnacentral:tRNA from 1 species